GCUCAGUGCUCCCAGCUCGCAGGUUCUGCUCUGCUUGCUUCUAGUAUUCCCUCUGCCCUCCGGGGUUUCCACUCAGCACGAGAAGCUGCUGAGUCCCUCUAAAGGCUCUGAAGGCAGUUAAAAAGGGAGGUGGUUUGCGUCAGGAUUGGAAUCUUCUGGACAAGGGAACUGAGAUGAGGCUUUUAGGGAGUUGCCGUCAGCCGUGAAUACAUCCGGACGUGAGAAUCAGGCCUGUAAGCAGUUUAUUGAAAGUCACAGCAGAAGUGAUACAGGAAAGUGGAGGAAAUGUUGCUAAAUAAACGUCCCUAAUGGGCAAAUAAAGACUAAUCCCAUGAGCAACUCAGGAAAUCCGUGCAAAACACAGAAUACAUUUGAUUUAAAUUAAACAUGAAACUAGGAUAAUGUUCGGUCCUUGUCAUGUUGCAAUUACACUGUUUAAAACAAACAGGACCAUCCGUUCUUGGCUACAUUCUGCCAACCCAUUAAGGCACAGUCACAUCCAGCUGGACUCGGCGACAACUCCAGCCGUCACUGUCAGUGCCUGAGGACUUAAGUGGAUGGAGGGGGCCAGAGACCAAACUUAACACAGGAUUCUGUAGCAAGUCUGAACGGGAGAAGCCUCCCUCCUGAGGGAGAAGAUGAAGUCUGAGUAACAGGAAGUAGAAGACUGGCAUAACUGCUGUUGUAUUAAAUAGAGUAAGCGCAUUGCUUCUUGCUGUUUCCAAGCUGCUGUCUUGUGAAUAGCAGUGACGAAAGCCUCCUGCACACUUCCCGGGCACUCGUCAUCUUCUGACCUUAGGUAUUUGUUUGUUUGUUAUCUGGCAUGGUUUCUUUACCAAGGAAAGCUAGCUUCCUCAAGACACGGGUCAUUCAGCUGUAAGUGCUGGCCUCCGCGUUCUCCUUCCUGCAGAUGGCCGAGUCCCGCUCGGUGGGGCUUUCUUCCUCCUCCACUGUGAGCUUUUCACUGUUUGGUCUGCGAAGACAGAGCGCCGCCUGUCCCAGUUCCACUCGCCGGGACAGAAGGGGUCUCGGGCUGGAAGGUGGCCGGCAGGGACCUGGGGCUUGGCCUGUGUGCUGGGGGAGGAGAAGGACUCCGAGUGGCUGGCUUUGGCGCCGCGUUUGCUGGGAGCUGAGAUGUUCCUGCAGAGCUCUGAGCCCCAGGGUGUCCAGGAGGUGGCUCUCCUGGUUUUUAGGGUGCUGGAGCACGUUUUUUAACAGCCAGGUGCAGAGCGUGAGGCCCGGGCCAGCGGCAUUGUGGGCCGAGCCGAGCGAGAGCUGACGGGAGCCGGGCCUGGCUGUGGCCUGUGGUCC
ensembl:lncRNA